UGCAAGAUAUGUACAGCUAAGUUUGGUUUCAAAAGUCACCUGUUGGGCGUCAGAGAGCUGCUUGAAUGUAGCAAGAGUAGCUCCCUCAGCCUCGCAAGCUUCCUGUGCUUGGCUGAAGUUCAGUUUAUACUUCCCCUCAGGUGAGCGCAGGUGGAAAACACCCCCUGUUUUCGCUGAAACGUAAGAAUAAAAGCCUUUGUUUUUGAAUACUCAAAAUAUUGGGCUGUCAAUUAAAUCAUUGUGAAGUUGUACUAUGGAAAUGAAGGUCUUUGCAUGUGGCUUUGGGGUCGCAGCCGCCGUUGUCCUCCAGGCAGCGGUCAACAGGGGGCACCACUUUCUCCAAACACUGGAUUCCAUUUCCCACGUACCCCUCGAGACAUUCGCAGUGCCUCUCGUUCUGCCACAAGGUAAAUGUUACACAUUUUGUUUAUCCAAAACUCUUGUCAGAUUACAUUAACAAAAAGCAGAAGUUCCACAUACAGGUCCGGUGAAAAUGCAUUCUGCGAAAUCGCUACAGCCACCGUUCGCCUCCUCUACACAUCGGUUGAUAGGCGAGCAGACGUGUCCGUCUCCAGAGUAUCCGGCCUGACAGGAACAGUAUUUACCCGUCCACCCCUCUUGACAGAAACAGCUGCCAUCACCGUCCAGGCCGCUAUCACACUUGCCAUUGCUGGUGCAGUUACAUGCUGUGAGAAAAGAUGAAUAAAAUGUUCAUUAU
rnacentral:lncRNA from 1 species